rnacentral:misc_RNA from 1 species
AAUCAAACAAGUUAUUCCAGAGCUUCCAUUGCUUCUCAUAUUUAAUACAAGUCCAUCUUUGAUACAUUUGCAUCAAAGAUCACUACAUAAUAUUUCUUUCUUAAAUAUACAUUUCUGUUAAAAACCUAGACAUAACUCAGGCUAUCUUUAUAUAUUAGCCCUCAAAUUAGAUCUGGCUACUAGCAUUUAUCAGAACAACAAGCUCUACGUUCUCCUUAGACGUUUGAACCACAAAAAAUCAAGUGGACCUUGCCAGGAGAAUCAUCACAUACCUGCAUCUCCAUGUUGAAAAAUGCAUCCUUUCGGCUGCUUUUUUUGAAACACUGGUUGUGUUAUUGUAAAUCGAAGACCUUACCAUGGACGUUAGUGAUGGUGAAAUCACACAUCGUUCUCUGGACUAGAACUUUUGUGAGGUCUUAAUGGGAGCCCAAAUAUCAGCACCAUUGCUGCUUGCCACACCAACAGUAUAUGAUACCGGCACAAGACAUAAGCCUUGGCUUCUCAAAUUGUAAGGUUGUGAUUCCUGUGUCUUCGACAUUGGCAUAGUUCCGAGGUAUGGUGCACUCAACACCUUCACUUGUUCAUGGAGGAAUUUUAUGUAUCCCAUUGCCUCAAGGAGAACAGAAGCCGUAUCUGUCUUGCCAUAUGGUGACACCAGCUGUUGAAGAGCAACUAUACGUUCACCAAACUUCUCCUUCUUCUCCUUGGAGGAAAUGAGCAUAUCGGCCUUUAGUCGUUUUGGUGUAAGAGAUGUGAGGCUGCUGCUAUGCUCGAGGGAAAUUGGACUUCUUUUGUGUUGCAUCAUCUUUCCUUCUAUUGCUUCAAUUCGCUGACAAGUAAUAGCAGUCCGAGCUUUUUUUUUACGACUCUCGUAUCUACCUAGUUUGUGCCCACCUCGAUUAAUUCCGUAAAACACCUUGAUUUCGAAGUCUACAUGCAAAAGUCGCUUAAAAAUUAGAGUUUUCCGGCAGGAUUUGGCCGGAGAGAUGGCCGGAAAACAGUAAAAUUUUAAUCGGAGAGAAAAUUUUGGAAAUGAAAGGACACAG